GGGAGUCAGUGGCACGGUCUCUGAAGAAGAUGCAUUGGGAGUUCUUUCUGGCAAAGGUAAUGACAUACGCAUCUGUGACAGCAUCCCAAGAGUGAGCCUGGUUUCUGGAAAUCCAUUCUGACUCUGUGACAGCGGGGAUGGAUGUGACCUUGCCCGUGGUUAGAAAACAAAUUUACUGAAAGAUUUCCCUUUUCUUCAUCUGGAGGAUAUCAGCACAAAAGUCCUAUUUGCAUAUAAAAUAGGAGGUGCACAUCAGAAACUUACAAAACUGUUUAAAAUGUUGAGUUAGACCAUAUGCCAAAACUCAGACCUUCUGAAUCACAAAGAAAACAUCUUGGGAGAUUGACUAGUUACAGAGAAACAGUUGUCACGUCAUGUGACAAAGUGAUGCCUCCACACAGACAGGAAACAUCUGGGUUCCACUCUGGGCCAGACAGAUUUCUGCAGUGUUCUCAGAAUGAGGUAUUGGCAACUAAGAAGACAAAGAAAGAAACUUCCAGAAACGUAAAACUGUCAAAACCACAUGACAUGAUCUAUAUGUGCUGUAAAACCUAACUCUUAAUUUUGUUUAUUCUGUGACAG
rnacentral:lncRNA from 1 species